rnacentral:lncRNA from 1 species
CUUGCUAGCUGCAAGGGGGGCUGGGAAAUGUAGUCUGUGGCUAGGCAGCCGCUUCCCAGUGACAACUGCACACGGAGGAGGGGGAGCAUGAGUGUUCAGUCGACAGGUGGCCAUCUUUGCCCCAGCUGGGAGCGGGCCUGAAGCAGGAAAUGCCCUGUCUCCAGCAGGUUCUAGGAACACGCUCCCACAUCUUCGCCCACGGGCUGUACAAGCAAAGGCGACGUGGGCCUCGAGCUGUAGUUUGCUGACACCUCCCCACCCUCUAAAUCCUCUGACAACCAGAAAGGACACCACUGGCACCGACGCCUUCUCCAGUCUGGGUUUUGCCUCCCAGAGGCCCGAGGCCACGCUGCUGACACCGGAGCCCCGCCUGGAUGCCUGGCUCCGGAAGACGGAGGAAGAGGCGGGGCCGGGCCCGGGCCUGCUCCCGGGUCUCCACUCAGACUGGCCACAUUGCAGUCGCUGCACACGGCAGGUGGCCCCCAAGUUGGACAGCUCAGGCCUAACCCAACCCUGAGCCCCAGCCCUUAACCCUAAAAGCUGCCUGAGUAACUACAAGGCUCUGGUUGGCUCCAGAGGAGCAUCCUGGGAGAAUUGGCCAGCAGAUGCUGGAUUCCCUCACCUGGAGGCCUGACCUCACUUGCAGACGGCCCCUCCUCCAUCUGUGCCUUGUGACUGGGCAAGGCAGCCCAGCCCACCUGUCCGUGGCUUCAAACACUAUCCCCUUCUGCUCAGAGACGCUCACAGGACGUGUGUGCGUGUGGGCGCUGGGCCUGGCCAGGUCUUUCAGCAGGAUUUCAUCAGGGUUGAGGAGGCCCCUCCCCCUGGAAGGCUGGAGCUGUGCUCUGCCUGAGGUUGCUGUUUCACGCUGGAACCACUCGUGGGCAACAGAAAGCCAGCCUGAGCCAACUGACCACAGAGCCAGAAAGUCACCUGGGUGACCAGCUGGUGCAGCCUGCUCAUGGUACAGGUGGGCAAACCGAGGGCCAGGGUGGAAGGAGGAAGUGAAUGUGAUCCAGGGUCAGUCCAUGUGAGUUUCCCAUUCCUAACUCUCUGAUGCCGAGCCUGCUCAGGCGCUUUACGAGCUUGGCGAGGCUCCUGGCUGGCGAGUGGCCGAGCGGGUAUUCCAGCCCGAGGACAGUGAUGGAGACGUGUCAUCUGAAGGGGCUCAUCUUCCCUCAGCUUCUCCAUCCUUCCUUCCUUUGUUUGAUGGAGCUUGGGGACAGGAAGGGAGGUUUCAGGGAGUGAGCUGGGCAACAUAGCAGGAGUAAGUCUUGGGCCAGUAAUUCAGGUAAGUGAGAAACAGAAAUGAAUUUUCCUAUCGUUCCACUGACUGUCCAUCUUAGCCCCCCUUGGGGUGGGGAAACAGAAGAGGGCAGUGGUGCAAACUUAAUCUCAGACAGUUUGGGGUCUUCCCCUUUCCCCCAAGGGGUGGUCUCAAUUCCAUCUGGCGGCUCUCUCUACUGUUGGGGCCCUGAGAAUCACUCUGAGGCCUUGCCGGGGCCCAGAAACUUCUGUGAGGUGCCCACAGCCCUAUCUGUCUAGACAUGCCCCUCCCAGAAGUUCCCCUUCUAAGGGGGUUGCCCUUGGUGCCUGGACCCUCAGACGUACCUCAGACUCAGAGAUGCCCAGGACAUCUCAGAUUUCAUCAAUGGUUUCCAUCAUCUCUCUGCUGUGUAGCCCAGGGGCUGGGGGCUGGCUGGGUGGUGAGGGAGCCUGUCCUCUGGACUCCUGGGGACCACCACUGUGGGCUUCUCUGCUGAUGGAGGCAGGUGGCAGGGUUAUGAGCAUCCCUGAGGGUCAAGCUGGCCUUCCACUUCCACUCUUCUUGGGGAGCAGCUCACAUGCUGCUCUGACAUGGUUAGUCAACCGUGAGUCCCCAGGGCCGUGGGGGUCUGUGGCUCUGGAAGCCCCUGGGUCUCUGGUUUCCCUGAUCAAGCCCAGGGAGGAGGGGCAGUCCUGGUUUGCCCCAGACUGGAGGAGGGUGGUUCCCGGGAUGAAGGACUUUCAGUUCUAAAAGCAAGACAGUCCUGAGUAAGAUGAGCCAAGAUGAGCUGUCCCCUAUUUUUUCCCUCCCUUAGUCUGGUAUGGCUGGUCUGGGGAGGGGAUGACAGGGUCAAGGGGACUUCCCUUCUGUGUUCUAUGCUUGGGACAGUGUGCAGGCAGACCAGGCCCUGGAGGUUUAUUUGGGGGGACGAGACUCCUUGGUGAGAUCAGCUCCAGCCCUCCCAGUCCCCACCCCCCGAAAAGGAUGAAGGUUUGUUUUGGUGCCCCCGCUCCCAUCCUGGGCUGCUGCCAAGCCUGGCCUCCUGCUGAAGGUGGUCCCAGGGGCUUCUGGAUCAGUAGGGCCAGGAGGCAGAGCCCCUGGGCCCAUCCUGGCUACUCUGUGACCUUGGGCAGGUCCCUUCACAUCCCUCUGGUCCGGUCCCCUUAGCUGUGAAAUGGAGGGUUGGAUCUAUAGGGUCCGUUGAGCCCCCUCCAGCUCCCAAAACUAUUGUUUGAGCCACACAGAUGAGAACCCCGACUCUGCCCCCAUAGUUAGCCCUGCAAAGCCUAGUGGGGAGCCAGAGGCUCGAGCUGUGAGGCUUUGGGAAGGGCAGGCUGAGGACACUGCCCGCAGGUCUGGACAAACAAAAUAAAUUUGUCCCCUACCAAGAGGGCAGUGGUUAGAGCCAGGGCCCCCUAGGACUUAGACUCAUCCACUGAGUCCAACCCUCCUGACUGCCAAGAACAAACUGAGGCCCAGAGAGGGAAAGUGAGUUGCCCAGGAUAACACAGCAAGUGGGUGACCAGGUGGGCAUUAGAAGCCUGAUCUCCUGGCUCCUCCCCAGUGCUGUUUCUUCCCUUCUCAGGAUCACCAAUAUCACUAAAUGCUCUUCACAGGGAGCCUCUCCUCCUCCUGACCCCUCCUGCCCACACACCCCACCCCUCAGCUUCCUGAGCCUGCUGCACUUUGACCCUCAGAUCUGGAAGGACCCCACAGAUGUAGGGGUGUGACAGGCUGCGACUCACCUCUGAGCUGCUGGAAGGGCUGUGUUGGCACCAGUGCCCUGCUAGAGUGGGGAGCCAGGAGGUGGAGAGCGGCUGGGAAAACUGAGGUCGGGUGUAGAGCCUGCGUUCCUGGUGGGCAUGGGGUCUGAAUUGGGGUCCUUUGUUUAGCGGGGGCUUGGCUCCCAGCAGACAUUUGCAGACUCUAACACCAAAGACCUUCAAUAAUAACAAUAAUGACAAUAGUAAUAAUAAUAAACGUUUCCAUUGAACAGCUGACACUGUUUCGGUUCAGCUCUGAGAGCUUCACAUGCCUUUAACCCUCACAACAGCCCUGUGUGUGUAGGGGGGAGUGUCCUUAGGACCAUUUCCCAGCUGAGAGGACCUGGCCGAGAGAGGGGAUACCAUCACGGGGCGCUCCACUGAAGACAUGGGGGAGCGACUUCCUUUUCCCGGGAGACUGAAGUAGCUCGACUGGUUUUGUCCUAAAAUUUAGAGCAGAGUUUGCAUUGUAACACCCAUCUGUGACAAUUUUAAUUUAAAAAUGGUGUUCUGAAUGACAACUUUUCUCCACCAAAUCUUGGCAUCACAUUAAACGCAGGUUGGGGGAUGGCUCUGUGCUUCCUAGGACACUUGGGCGAGCCGCCCCCAGGGGGCACUCACGCCCCGUCCGGGCAGCAGGGUCUGUCUGGCCAGAGACGCCUCGCAGGAUGGUCCAUGGGCCCCUCAAUUGGUGAUUUUCCGGACGGGCAGGAGAUACCCUGGUGGGACCAAACUUUCAGCUCCGUUGUAUGAUUCCUCCCCAUCGGGAGAGACUCCCCACAGGGUCGGCCCCUGUCCAGCGUGGUACCAGGAUGGGCUUCAGGGGAUUAGUGUGAAAAUGAUGUGAGGAAGCAAAUGGAAUAUUUCUAGGAAGAGGGUCUAUGUUUUUCAUUAAGUAUCACAAAAAAGGCUCGACACCCCCCCCAUUAGGAACUCUGCCCUGGGUACCCGGGUCCCCAGACACGGUUGCUACCUCCUCAACUGUGCUGGGCACUUUGGCGUCCCCCACGCAGGGCAGGCAGCAUGAACUUCUCUAAGCACCCCAAGAAAAGGCCAGAAGGGACCCCCACACUCCUCUUCAAAAGUGGGAGCCCCACAGAAAAUGCCCCCUGUUCCCGCAGCCCCGCCUGCUCUGCCCCGGCCUGAGCAGAGUCUGGGACCCUGUCUGAGGGCAGAGGAAAGCCAGAUCCUGCUGCUUCCUCUCGGGAUGUCUUCCCCUUCGGGGCCUCAGUUUCUCACUUGUAAAAUGGGGAUGUGAAAACCUGCUUUGUAGCGUGGUUCUGAGGUCAAAGGAGAUGAUUCUCAUUGAGGGGGCUGUGACCCCUGCAGAGCUGGGCACGAGGACCCCCGGGGCCGUCCUGGCUGAGGCUCCUCUUCCUCCAGGGGUGAGGCCCUCUGUUCUGCAGAGCCGAGACGUGGGCACGGUGUUUUUGCUGACCAGGCCUUUCCGGUUGCAGCCGGACAGCAUUUGUGACCCUGAAACGUAACAGGGAGGUAGCAUAACUAGGGUAGAACGUAAGCUCCCCAGGAGUAGGAAUUUUGUCUGUUUCAUUUCCCGCUGUGUCCUCAGGGCCGAGAACAUUAUCUGGCAAAUAGUAGGCGCUCAAUAAGUAUCCGUUGAAUAACAGAUGGGGCCAUGGGGAAGGGGCAGCCAGACAUCCAGAAAAGUGUAGGGAGGGGCUGGGACAUUCUCACUCAAAGGUCCGGUUUCAGCUCUCUCAUCAACUUUCUGGGUGACCUUGGGCAAAUCCCUUCUCCUCUCUGGGCCUGUUUUCCCACCUACACAAUGAGGGGGUUGGCCCGGGGUCUCCAGGCCCAUCCAGCUCUGAUGCCCAGUGCAGCAGUGAGAAGCGGGACCCACUGUGUCUCGAGAGCAGGAUUUGAUAGAGGGCAGUGGGGUGGGCAUGAGAAGCCCAGGAGCGCUGAAGGGGACCAGGCGGGGCUGCCAAGUCACGGGGGCAUGGCAGGUGGGCACUCAUUCUGCGGUGAAACCCAGACCCAGACCUCAGCAGCUGGGACUGUGGGCAACUUUCUGCUCCCACCCAUGGGUGAGGUUCCUGCCCCUAGCCCUUCACCUGCUCAGCAGGAGCUGCAGGCACGGACUCCUCAGUUUGCAAAUGAAAGGAACGCCAAGACACUGUCCUGCUUGAAGCUCUAGGAAGAGGUCCUGUCUGCAGCUGGGACCCUGCUCCACCCCUUGGGCCCUUCGCAGCCCCCUGGACCCCAGGGAGAAAGGGGGUGGACACGGUGGAGUUUUCAUCCAGCUCUGUGCCAUCAUUACAUACUAAACCCACCACCACUCCCCUUUCUCUGCCUCUCUCUGAAUUUCUGCUGGGACUGAGCUGACAAUUACUUUUAUCCUCUAGCCUGGUAUAGAGACACAUCCACGAAUAUAGUUAGACACGUGUUAUGGUUUAAUUUAAACAAUGGAGUUCAUCAGCCAUAUAGCUUAUAUUUUGUUUCACUGGUGACUGAUGACUAGCAAAAUGACAUUUCCAUGUGUCCUUCUGAGAAAGUUCCAGCACGUUGCCCCCCACCUCAAACCAGCACUGUCUCCAGCAACCACUGAAAUCAUACUACUAAGUACAACCAAAUUGCAUGAAAAAUUACUUAUAACGAAAGUAGUAUGUGCUUUUGGGUGAACAUCGCAGAAUUAUAUGAGAUUUUUUUUUUUUCUUUAAAGAUUGGCACCUGGGCUAACAACUGUUGCCAAUCUUUUGGUUUUUUUCUGCUUUAUCUCCCCAAACCCCCCCUGUACAUGGUUGUAUAUCUUAGUUGCAGGUCCUUCUAGUUGUGGGAUGUGGGACGCCGCCUCAACGUGGCCUGACGAGCGGUGCCAUGUCUGCGCCCACAUGUCUGGGCCGCCGCAGCGGAGCACGCGAACUUAACCACUCGGCCACGGAGCCGGCCCCCGAGAUUUUUUAAUGAGUGAAAACUCUCUCCUUCAUCUCAUUGUCUAAUAUUAACAGUUUAGUGCAUCAUUCCAGACAUUUCUGUGGGUCUGUGAACUAUGCAAAUAUUUGCAUGAUUUUUUUGUACAAACAAAAUCAUAACCUACAGACUGUUCUGCAACAUACACGCCCUUCCAAGUCAGAGCACAUGAGUCUCCCUUGUUGUUUGCAUGACCGCAUAAUGGAUAUUUGGGUCGUUUCCAGUUUUCCAUUGUUGCAAACAGCACUGAUAUGACACUUUGUAUCUAAUCUUUGUGCACUAGUAAGAAUUUAUCCACAAGGUAACUUUUUAGAAGUGGAAUUACUGAGUCAAAGAAUACAUGAAUUUAAAAUAUUCAUAGCUAUCACCAAACUGCCAAAAUCAAAUAUUUGUACAUUUACAUGUUCACAAACUGUGUGCAAUUGCCUAUUUCCCCACAGCAUGACAAGGCCAUCUUUUCAAUCUUCAUUUGUCUGCUGGGUGAGGGUUGUAUCCCAAUGUUUUUUGGGUUUUUUUUUUCCUGAGGAAGAUUAGCCCUGAGCUAGCAUCUGUGCCAAUCUUCCUCCCCUUAGAUGUGGGUUGCUGCCACAGCACAGCUGAUGAGUGGUGUAGGUCUGCACCCAGGAUUCAAACCCAUGAAUCUGGGGUGCUGAAGCAGAGGGCACCAAACUUAACCACUAAGCCACAGGGCUGGCCCCAAGUGUUUCAAUUUGCAUUUUUUUCAACUGUAAGUGAAGCUGGACACCUCUUCUUAUAUUUAUGGGCCUUUUAUAACUUUUCUGAUGUCCAUUGCCCACUUUUAAGUUGUCCAUUUCUUAUUGAUUGUAAAAGUCCUUUACAUAUGAAGGACAUCAAACCAAUCUUUGGCUUAUCUUAAUUACUGGCAAAUAUUUUUCUUAAUUUGUUUUUUUUAUUGCUUUAUGUUUCAUUUCCAAGACCUGUGCAGUAACAGUUACCAGUAUUCCCUUUAUGGAGUCCUGGUUUCUUGCUGAGUUGCAUUUUUGAUACCACAAAUCCCAGUGAUUGGGAAGGUCCCUUAAUCCACAUAUUGAGAGUUAGGGGAGAAAGGGUUUGCCAUUUAUAGCUGAAAAGUGGGCGGUACAGAGGGCCUGUCCUUUGCCAGGUCUGGAAUCUGAUAUCUGGAAGGAGACAAGGGCAGCCAAGAGACAGCAUGGUGUGAUGGGGAGAAGUCCUAGAACUUAGUGUCCCUCCCGGCUGCCCUGUCCUCCCUUGGCCUCAGUUUAUCUAAGUGCAAAAUGAGGGGUUUGAAUCUGCCGAACUCUGAGGUCACUUCCUGUUUUCAUGUUUGAUGAGUCUGUUCAUACAUGGUGCCCUCAGACAGGACGCCGCCCCUCUUGGAAACUCUCUCUCGUUCUCCAUAAAAGGCAGAAGUAGAACAGAGUGAUGGUCGUGUCCUUUCAAGCACUGAGGACCCCUGACUCCAUGGCUAGCUGCCCAAACUUCACCUGCCUCGCAGGCACCUGGGGAGCAGUCAGGAAUACUGGAGCCCUGGCACCACCCCAGGACAAUUCAAUUAGAAACUCUGGAGGCAGGGCCUCCGUAGCUUUUUUUAUUUUUAUUUAUUUAAUUUUUUUUUGAGGAAGAUUAGCCCUGAGCUAACUACUGCCAAUCCUCCUCUUUUUGCUGAGGAAGACUGGCCCUGAGCUAACAUCCAUGCCCAUCUUCCUCUACUUUAUACAUGGGACUCCUACCACAGCAUGGCUUUUGCCAAGUGGUGCCAUGUCCACGCCCAGGAUCCGAAUCAGUGAACCCCAGGCCGCAGAGAAGCAGAACGUGCACACUUAACUGCUGCACCACCGGGCCGGCCCCGCUCCGUAGCUUUUAAUGUUCCCAGCUAACUGAUGCUUGGGAGUCAGGAGUGGCCUGAGAUCCUGCAUUUCCAACAAGCUCCAGGGGAUGCUGAUGCUGUGGGUUCAGGACCACACUUUCAGUAGGAGGCUGGCAGUGCCAGCGUCCCCGGGCAGCUCCUUAGAGAUGCAGGCUCUCCGAGUCCCAGAGUGACCCCUCCUUCUGGCUUCCCCAUGUGCGUCUGCACUGCUGGGUGAACAUAAUCAUCUUCAAAAACAGGCCUCUGGAGCUUUCACGGUUGUAUUUGCUUUUUUCAUAAUUCAUCAAGCUGUACAUUUCUGAUCUUGCCAAGCAGAAAGGGACCAGACCAGGUCAUCCUAGACCCCAAAAAGGACGAGGAGCCCCGAUGCAGCUGCAGUCCGCCGCACACACAGGGCGUGACUGGGGAGUCACUGGGAGAAUGCUGUUGCGGGCUUUCACUCUCUUUCUAACCCGGAAGGAAGAAGGAGGUGAAGGGGUUCAGCUCAGCUGCUGAGGAGUUCCUGGGGUCCGUGGACAUUUGAAGGGGAGCUUGGGCGAGCCUCAGUUUCCUCAUCUGUGUGAUGGGGAUAAUGAUGCCUCCUUCUCUACGUUAUUCAGUUUUAGAUCAAAUAACAUUCAAGCGCAGCAGCCAGCCUGGCAUAGAGUAGGUGCUCACGUCAGUCCAGUGCUCGCUGGGUGCUUACCUUGAAACAAGUCACGGCCAGAUCUUGGCGUCAUACUUGGCAGGGUCAGACCGACUUGCUUUGCCCCUCCCACGUUGUGAGAACUUAGGUGAGUCAUUUUGUCUCUCUGCCCCUCUGUUUGCUUGUCGAUUCAACGCAACUUUGGCAGGGUUGUCAUAAGGAUUAAAUGAGGUCACGCGUGUGACGUGUGGAGGCCUGCCUGUGCCGGGCCGAGCCAGCGCUCUGUCAGCCCGAGUGCAGGCUGCGGGUAGCCAGCUCCCUCCCACCCUGGGGGAGCCCUGGCUUCAGAGAACAGAGUCCCCUUUGACUCUGCCGGCCCGCUGUGGUCGCCACCCCGCAAUCACUGAGCACUGGAGAGCAAACAUCCCCCGUCAGGCCCAGCCUUUUUCUUGGCUGCCGCCCUCGGGCCAGCCGGGUUUGGGUUGGCGGGCGGGGUGCAUGGCUAGGCUUUGAUGUGAGCAGGAGUCCCCGAGGUGUGCUGGAGCUGGGAGGUGGAGGUGGGGCUCCCAGCCUCUCUCGGUGGCCCAGGGCCAGCUCCUACUCUUAAACCCCAGAGCCUGGCAGGGCCCUGCUGUCUCGUGCCAGUGGAGGGAGGCAACUUGGCACCAGUGGGUCCUCACACCAACCCUAAGAUGCGAGUGUGAUUGUUAUUCCCAUUUUAUAGUUGGGGAAACUGAGGGAAGUGUUCCCCACUCUGGUGAACACCAGCCUGCGUGGGAAGGCAGAGUGCCUCCUGAGUUGCUCUGGGUCUGAAGUUCCAAUCCAUUCUCUGGGAGGGUCUUCGUCCCUAGAAAGACCCCCAUUGAAACGGGCACAUCAGACCCCAGAAGGGCUACUGCCUGCCCACACAGGUUUACUGGGCAUCUGGCUCGUGCCUGGCCCUGCGCCAUGCCAAGGGAGGGGAGGAGGAGCCAAAGUCCCCGCACAGGCACAGGUUCAAAUCCCAGCCCCACCACGGGCCAGCUACAGGGACAGCCCCCCGGACUCAGUUUCCUCACCUGUAAAACGAGGUGUAGGGAAAACUAAGUAAGCACUGUGUGUGAAAGUGAUUUUUCAGGCGGUGCUGGUCAAUGCAAGUGGGGGAUUAUGAACACCCCUGAGCUAAGAUCCGAGUCUUGUCGCCAGAGCAGAAAAAGCUCAGAAGAGAACGGAGGAGCGGCUUGGCGAGUCACACGGGAGGGGCUGUGGGGUGGGCGAGGGGGGCUGACUUCUGGUCAGAGGCUGGAAGGGGCCGAAGGCUUGUCCAGCCCUUUCUGCUCGUGUUUCAGAGGAGGCGAAAGAGGCCUGGAGGAGGUUUUCGCCCAAAGACUGUGGGGACGCAGGAGCUGGUCGGAGCUCUUGGGGGAGGCCUCAGUCUGACUGCUGUGCGGUUCUGGGAGACUGCUUUCAGCCGUCCGGGCCUGUUUUACCCUCUGUCGGUCCCCGCUGCUGGGAGAGCCUUGCUCCUGAGGCACAUGCGCAUGGUUUGUAUAGUGUGUCCCCUGUACGAACAGUGUCUCAUGGGGUGAGUCAAGGGUCCAUCGAGGUGGUUCCCCAGGGACCAGGCUUAGGCCGGGCCAGACCAACGUAGAAGGGGUUAAAUUGGGGAGCCCCUCCAAGCAGGAUGCCAGGGACCUCUAACGGAGGAGGUGGCCUUGAAGGGGACAGCAGCUUUGUCUCCUUGGGCUCUGCAGUGGACAAAGUGGUCCUGAGUUCUUCGGAGGUGAGGACCCAGGGAACCCACAGGCAUUCCACUCCCAGGGUGGGACCUGAUGCCAGGGGAGAAGCCAGAUUGGGGACCAGGCCUGGGGGCCCGAGGGGAGGAGGAGGAGGAGGAAGAGGAGGAGGCAGGGCCCGUUGCCAGCCAGGAAAUGUCUGCCGGCUGGCAUCAGGCUUUCUUGAGCUAGCGCGCUUCCUGUGAGCCGUGCACACAAGCCCGGUGACCUCAGCCCUCAGACAUUCCAGGACAGCCCCCCAUUCCAGAUAGGCCGUCCCAUUGUCCCCUGGAGCAGCGAACGGGCGGCAGUGCCGACCUUUCGGCAUCCAAACAACAUCCAUUCAUUCAACAAUGUUUACGGAGCACCCACUCCGUGCAGGCGCCGGGCCAGGCCCCGGCACUGGCAGACACCGUGGAGCCCGGCAGCCGGCGGGUCUACGUCUUCCAGUCAGACCCCUGAACCUGGAGCUGCUGCAGAUCUGCUCUCCUUGUGGGCUCUUUGGGUUGGGACACUGAGGUCAUCAUGGAUGAGGAGAAUCCCUAAAUCGGGGAAACCCUGGGGGCCGGGGGGAGAUGGCCAGUGAAACUUGAUUCGGCCCCACUCGUGCCAAGGGCUGCACUGGGGGUCUGCAUCUAUUGUCUCAUUUAAGUUUCCCAACAGCCAAUAGGGUGUCAUUGUCCUCAUUUACAGAGACACAGUCUCAGGUGAGUGAACUUGCUCUCCGGGUCAUGAGAGUCUGGGCCAGGAUUCACAUCCAGGUCUUUCUGGGGCACUGAGACCUCAGAUGCUGAAAUUAGUACCAUCGAGCCCCUGGCCUCAGUUUGAAACCGCCUACUAGCCUAGAGGGUUUGGGCGAGUCACUUAGCCUCUCUGAGCCUUGGUUUUCUCAUCUGUCAAAUGAGCUCACGGUGUCUAAUUCAGAGGAUUGCUGUGAAGGUUAAGUGGGGCAAUGGAUGCAUAAAUCCCUGCCCCCUGGCUGAGGUAAGAGGCUUCAGGAUACCUCAUUUGGGGGGUUUCAUCUCCCAGAAUUCUCCGGCCACACAGGACCUUGAGAAGUCCUGAGCCCAUUCCUCCACCUCUAGGUCUAACCACUCUAGUCAUCUUCAAGAAUUGAGGGAGCAGGUACCAUUUUGCGAAGCAUAGUGGGCAGGGACAGACGGGGAGGAACGCGAGGAGAGGAAGAUGAAGAACGGACACAGACUCCCUGCCACCCUCCUCGCCUCCCUCAGGCACCUGAGGAUCUUGGGGCUGAGGAGGGGCCAUCCUGUGUGACAUAAUGAGACCAUCGCAGGCUACCACUGUGACCAUCUCUUUGCUCACACUUCGCUUCAUGAAGGUAUCUCAUGUCUUAUGUCACUGCAUCCCAAAGACGGCUGUGUGAAUUGCUAAUCUUAUCCCCAUUUUGCAGAUGAGGAAACCGCACUGGACAGAUUCACCUGAGGCCUCUGAGCUAGUAAGUGGGUGGGAUUUAAGCCUCUGCCGGUAACCCCGACUCCUCUGCAGGAGGCUUCCGGAGCCGGGCAGCGGAGGGGGCAGGGCCCCGUUAGGGGAGAGGAGAAUGCCUUGUUUUUUGCAGCUGUGCAGAACUCUUGCAAAAAGCCUUAGGCAGGUGAAAUAGAAGCCACGGGAAUAAAAAUACCUUUCAGAUGUUUGGUCCUCUCCUGUGCUCUCCAUUAUAAGGAAGCCCUGCAUCACGUCUACCCUAAAACCCUCUGGCUGCGGUUCCCACAGCCUCACCUGGGUGGACACGCUGGCUUUUCUGCAGAACUGCACCGACCUCAGGCUGUCUGGGUAGCGCUGGGGGCCCGGUCAGUGUCCUGGCUGCCACCAUGAACUCAAAGACCUUGAAUCCAUCACAGCCUCUCCAAGCUUCAGUUGUGCCAUCGGUUAAAUGAGGAUGUCGAUAAGUGGGGGGAUGGGAAGACUGCACUGGGUACGGCCUGGGACGGCGGGCACGGCGAGCUUCCGAAGUGGAGCUCUUCUGCCCUCCCUCUGAGGGGACGCCGCUUCCCCCUUGUCCUCCUGCGUGGAGGUGGCAUCGGGCAAAGGGGAGGCAGUUCCACUCUCUGUGAAGAAUCCUGGGCAUCAGCUGCAGAGAGCUGAGCUCAAAACCCGACUCUCCCUUGUACCAGCCCUGAUCAAGCGUGUCACUUCUCUGAGCUGCAGUAUUGUCAUCUAUAAAAUGGGGACAUGAUGCCAACCACCCAGAGUGAACUGCCUUCAUCCCCACAGAGGUGCCACCCACCAGAGGGGAGAUUCCCAAUCGGACGAUGGCCCCGUGGAAGGCAGGGCUCAGCCCAGAGAAGUGCCUCAAAGUUGGUGGCGUCCUGGAGCAGCGGGGAAGAUGUUUCAGGGCCACGUUGGGGGGCGUUUCUAGCACCCCCUAAAACCAAGUCCCCUACAUUAUCAGUUACUCGGAAAGAAAACCUGCUUCAGAUGUUCAUAAAGGGAAACCGCGUUGCUCCAAGAAGGGCUACGGCUCCAGGGUCACAGAAGGCCGAGGUGGGAUGGGCUAGAGGCUCCGGCAGGGUAGAGGCCUGGGCCCUGCGCUCCUUCUGGUUCACCUGCCCUAGUUAAAUCCAGGUCGGUGCAACAGCACCUCUCUGAGCUUCUGCUACGUGCAGGUGCCACACCAGACACUCUGUAGGAGCAGGUGACUCAUAAAUCAGACUUGAACUCUGCACUUAUGAAGCUUCCAAUUGAGUGAAAAGAAUGAAUGGUGACAUGAAUAAGACAGCUCCAUGCACCCCUGCCUCACAGGCACCCUGUACAGAACCUGGUCCAUGGUAGGUGCGCAGUACGCAUUGACUGAAUGUAACUAAACUACAAAGCACAGCAGGGGUCAGACCCAGGGUGGGUGGUUUCCCAGAGGAGGGGUCAUUAACACGGGGUGUCAACGGCUGCCUAAGAGCCCCCUGCUCCUCCAUGUGUCCACUGGUCCUCCAUCAAGGCUGAUGAAGACCAGAGCAGGGCAAGACCCCAGCUCCUCCUCACUGCUGCCCACCAGCCCUCAUCUGAACCCUGAGGAGUCUCCGGAUGUGAGGAGGAAGCGGCCGGGCUGCGGAAGGCAGGCUCAUUUCCAGUGGGGCCGGGCCGCCAGCCCCAGGUCCUGUUUACACAGCAAGGCGGACGGGCCGGCAGGACUUGGCGGUGAAUGUGCUCCUGCCUCUGAGAACAGAGGGGCUGGCAGAGCCCGGCCAGGCCGGGCGCGGGGAGGCCUGUGCCAAGGGGAAAGUCGAAUGUAAAGAGUGUUUCCUCCUGGCCAGGCGGCCCCAGACUUUUGUCUCCAGUCUGCGGGCAGUUCCUGCAGUGAUUCAUAAUCGGCGGGAACUUAUAAAUAAACCCCACCUCAGCCUCGCACCACAGCCUGGCCGGGACCUGGGCGGCAGUGGGGUGGGGGGCUGGGAGACAGGGAGGCUGGAGGAGAGGCCCUGAGGAGGCUGGGGUCCUGGGUGAUGCUGGCUGCCGGGCAGGGGCGCCUCCGGCUUUCCACGAAGGAACUGCAGCUGUUGCCAGGGGUCACGUUUUCCACCAGAGGACUUGGGAACUGGACCACCGGUCUGGAGCAAAGAACUCUGAGAGGCCUGGGUUUGCAUCUCCCCGGGAAUGUGGUGGAUGAGACUAGGUAGAAGUUUGAAACCGCUGGGCUUUAAAACAUUCUUCUGAUAUAAUUUCAAAUUUACGGAAAAGUUGCAAAAAUAAAACAGAGAACUCCAGUACAACCUGUAGCCAUGUCCAUCAGUUGUUUACCUUCUGUCCCAUUUCUUUUUUCGGAACCAUCGAAGGGUAGGCUUCCAGCACCACACCUCUGCCCCGUGCGCCUGCGGUGUGCACUUCCUGAAACAGCCAGGGUCUGGAUUCCUCACUGGCCGCUUAUUAAGUGUGUUCCAGAGCAAGUUGCUCAAGUCCUGUGUCCUUUUCCGUGAAGCAGUGCUGCGAGGGCCCCUCCCCAUGGAGAGGAUGAGAAGUGACACUGGAAAUAUCUCCUGCAACAAUGUGAUAAGCACAGCUCAUUAUCAGGCACAAAGCAACUUGCACACAUUAUGUCAUUUGACCUGCACAACGUCCCUCCUUUACUAAUAAAGAAACAGGC